UACGUACNCACAAGACACGNGGUAACACCUGGAAACAGAUGCUAAUACCGGAUAACAACACUAGACGCAUGUCUAGAGUUUAAAAGAUGGUUCUGCUAUCACUCUUGGAUGGACCUGCGGUGCAUUAGCUAGUUGGUAAGGUAACGGCUUACCAAGGCAAUGAUGCAUAGCCGAGUUGAGAGACUGAUCGGCCACAUUGGGACUGAGACACGGCCCAAACUCCUACGGAAGGCAGCAG
rnacentral:rRNA from 1 species